GACAGAGGGUGCAAACGUUGUUCGGAAUUACUGGGCGUAAAGCGUGCGUAGGCGGCGCGGUAAGUCGGGUGUGAAAUCUCGGAGCUUAACUCCGAAACUGCAUUCGAUACUGCCGUGCUUGAGGACUGGAGAGGAGACUGGAAUUUACGGUGUAGCGGUGAAAUGCGUAGAUAUCGUAAGGAAGACCAGUGGCGAAGGCGGGUCUCUGGACAGUUCCUGACGCUGAGGCACGAAGGUCAGGGGAGCAAACGGG
rnacentral:rRNA from 1 species